rnacentral:rRNA from 1 species
UACGAGGGGGGCAAGCGUUGUUCGGAAUUAUUGGGCGUAAAGGGCGCGUAGGCGGUGCGGUAAGUCACCUGUGAAAACUCUGGGCUCAACUCAGAGCCUGCAGGCGAAACUGCCGUGCUUGAGUGUGGGAGAGGUGCGUGGAAUUCCCGGUGUAGCGGUGAAAUGCGUAGAUAUCGGGAGGAACAUCAGUGGCGAAGGCGGCUACCUGGCCCAAUACUGACACUCAGGUGCGACAGCGUGGGGAGCAAACAGG